rnacentral:tRNA from 1 species
GAUGGUAUAGCUCAGUGGUAGAGCACAUGCUUAGCAUGCAUGAGGUCCUGGGUUCAAUCCCUGGUAACUCUA